CAGAAGGCACAAGGUACAAGCACUCACGGGAGAGGAUGCCAGGAAUGGAGACUGAGCACUAGAAAGGCGAACUCUGCAGAAAACACCUCCAUCUGGUCCUCCUCUUUCACUCUGCACAUGGUAGAGGCUUCCCUCCCUUCUGUAAACAGCCUUCGCGUCCCAGCUGAGCUCCCCAGCAUGGAAUUGUCAACAGGGAGGGAACACAGGCCACCACAGCAGAAUACCAGAUGGAGCUGGAGCUCUUCAGUGGAACCUGACUCUUCAGUAAUAGGAGGCUGAAUACAAAGCCCACCAUCAGGAGCAGCUUCCACACAGACAUUAAGUAUUCCCCAAAUUGAACACUUUCUAUGUCUUGUGGCUUGAUCCAGACUGGUUUGCCUUAUAAUUUCUUGGGUACGUAUCUGUCUUCCCCACUGGAGUCUAAACUCCAUCAGGGCAGGCUAUUUAAUAUUUUUCUUCCACAAAGUAAAUUCUACAUAAAAAGUGUUCAACCAACUUGACACCAGUGGGACUCCAGCUUUCUGAGAAUUUGACAAUGGGCUCACACAUCACUGACAGGAUUCCAAAGAAGGAAGACACCAUCAACCAGAGGAGUGAGUCACCUCCAGGACCACUGGGGCAGGGGGGACUGGAGAUCUCCUCUUCUUUUGCCAGGUCCCUGAUAACGCUCUGCUCUCCAGGCCACUUACGUACAACUGCAUGUUGAGAAGGUGGAGUGAAGGUAGCUGCUGGCAGGUUUUGCUCCACACUUGUAAUUCUGGUGAAGAAAUUCCAGAGCUUUCAUUGCUCCUUCUACACCUUGCUCCCCCUAGAGUCAUUGUAGGGUCUUUUCCAUUCUGAGCAUUUGUUCAGGAAUGCCCAUGAUCCUCCUCCCUAACAAUUUGGCUCUGUUGGAAUGGCUGACUCUAUUUGGAAUUCCAUGAAGAAUCUUAUAAAACCUGGUAGUUGGUAGAGAUGACAUGCCCUGACUUUAUUUUGCAGAGACAAGCCCAGGAACUUCACAUGCCAGCAAUCCUCUUUAUGGCACCAGAGAGACAGGACUUGCACUCUUGACAGGCUUCACUCCACAGGGAUGGCCAGUUGGGCUUGUUUAAGUCAGCAUCACAACAGUUUGGAAAGAGCCUGCAUAUUCAGGAAGUGACAAACACCAGUACUGCUGAAAGCAGAAAAAGCAGAGCCCCUGUCUCUGCCCGGAGCCCACUCACCACUAGCACAAUUUAUUGUGAUAAGAAGAGGAAUGUGUCAUAUGCCUGGGAAGUCCAGCUUGUGUCCUUAAAUGGUCAUGACUUUAGCAUUAAAAGGUUUUGCAGCACGACUGGCCUCCAUCAAAGACCCAACCCUGCAGCAAAGGCUGAUCUAAGUCUAGGCAUCCCUCACCCAUCUCUUCAGUCAGCUCCACCCCUCAAGGUGACCCCCGACCUCACCUCUGGCUGACCAUCAAGCCCAGAGCGCUGCAGGAUUGGGGGUAGGGGAUGAGAGGGUGGGCAGGGGUCUCAUUGCUAACAAGGAUGGCCCCACAGCAUCUGCGCAAGUGCACCGGUGGCCCUCUUUAAGACUUGGGCAAGGGCUGGGGACCAGCGAGGGACUGUGUUCUGUUGCCUGGAAAACCAGGAUUCUUCAGCAAAGGGAUCUGCCCAAAGUCUAGAAUAUAAGCCAGCAACUUGCUUUACACCUUCUUCAAAAGGCAAAAGAAACUGUAGAAACUGGCUGUUAUGGCCUAAGUAUAUUCUAAGUUCAAAGUCAAGUGUUCUGUUACCACUGUUACUUGUUUUAAAAUCCCCCUUUCAGUAUUAGUGUUGGCCAAUGAGGGUGUCUAGGAUCAGAAAUAUGUAGGCUCUUUAUCAAAUGAACACAAAACAUCACUUCCACAUGUGAAAACUUAACAAAGGGAAACCUCACUAACAGGGCCGAGUAAGGUCCAGCAGGGGUCGCUCUCAGGCCCUACCAUAUCGCCUUAGCUUUACUGGCCACCAGGAGGGAGGAAGGUUUCUGCCUCUCUGCAACAGGCCAGCCAGUGAGAGACUGUCACAACCUAGCCAAUGAGCAGCCACAAUACUUGGAACUCCCAAUUUCCUCCAAUGGGCUUUUUGUUUAUAACAGCCCCUCCCAAGUUCACCCUUUCAUCUAUAAAGGAGCUUUUAGUCUCCUUUGUUCUCUGAACUUCCCUAUGGUUUUACACUAUCUUGCUUGCUCUGAAUUGUAAUUCUCUGCUAUUGCCCAAUAA